GAUGAACGCUGGCGGCGUGCUUAACACAUGCAAGUCGAACGAGAAGUGAAGACGGAAACCUUCGGGCGGAAGGCUUUAUUUCGAGUGGCGGACGGGUGAGUAACGCGUGGGUAACCUGCCUCAUACAGGGGGAUAACAGUUGGAAACGACUGUUAAUACCGCAUAAUACCACAGCACCGCAUGGUGCGGGGGUAAAAACUCCGGUGGUAUGAGAUGGACCCGCGUUCGAUUAGCCAGUUGGCAGGGUCACGGCCCACCAAAGCGACGAUCGAUAGCCGAUCUGAGAGGAUGACCGGCCACAAUUGAGCUGAGACCCAGCCCCAAAUCCUACGGAGGGCAGCAGUGGGGAAUAUUGCACAAUGGGGCAAAACCUGAUGCCGCGACGCCGCGUGAGUGAAGAAGUAGUUCGGUAUGUAAAGCUCUAUCAGCAGGGAAGAAAAUGACGGUACCUGAGAAAGAAGCCCCGGCUAACUACGUG
rnacentral:rRNA from 1 species